GGUAGCGUGGCCGAGCGGUCUAAGGCGCUGGUUUUAGGGCACCAGUCCGAAAGGGCGUGGGUUCGAAUCCCACCGCUGCCA